rnacentral:rRNA from 1 species
GAGUUUGAUCUUGGCUCAGAUUGAACGCUGGCGGCAUGCCUUACACAUGCAAGUCGAACGGCAGCACGGGAGCUUGCUCCUGGUGGGCGAGUGGCGAACGGGUGAGUAAUGCAUCGGAACGUAUCCUGGAGUGGGGGAUAACGUAGCGAAAGUUACGCUAAUACCGCAUAUUCUGUGAGCAGGAAAGCGGGGGACCUUCGGGCCUCGCGCUCUUGGAGCGGCCGAUGUCGGAUUAGCUGGUUGGUGAGGUAAAGGCUCACCAAGGCGACGAUCCGUAGCAGGUCUGAGAGGAUGAUCUGCCACACUGGAACUGAGACACGGUCCAGACUCCUACGGGAGGCAGCAGUGGGGAAUUUUGGACAAUGGGGGCAACCCUGAUCCAGCCAUGCCGCGUGAGUGAAGAAGGCCU